GGUAAUCUUGUUAUUCUUUUUAGUAACUAUUGGCUUGUUUUAUUGUUAUAAAUGUAUUUUUUUGGGAAUAUUCUACUUUCGAAAUUAUUUUUUCAAAACGUCCAAGACAAAAUGUAAUACAUGAAUUAAACUCUUCAAGCACCAGUGAUUAUGGUCUAAUUUCGAAUUUCAGGCGAACGCCACUAAAGUUAAUUAUGAUUGUAACACCGAAUUGCUCAUUAAAAAUUCGUAGUAAGUCAAUCUGGCAAAUGCUCCCUCCAACAGUGCGUCUUUUGUUCAGAUUUGCUUAAAAAGGCAUGCGUGCACUAGUGACGACGCAUUACGAAGCCGCGCCAACCAGCUACAGAAAAAGUUAUUAGAGUACGCAAAUUAUUAGUACUGUAUAAGAAUGUUUUAACAUUCAAGUCUAUAAAUUGUGCCCGAUGUAAUUUAUCGGGUUCCAAUAGUCCCGUAAAUCGUGACAUUGUAUAUAUUGGAAUACGCUCCGUGGUACGUUACGUCCCGGAAUAGAAAAAGGAUCUAAGUACUUGUACUGACUGACGCGAGGGAACUGGUACAACAUCGAGCCAGGAUCCGAUCUUCGUAAUCACCGUAUCGUACACAGAGAAAGAUACGUAUUUACUUGUAUUAUUUCAUUACAUCGCAGAAUCUGUAUUUACCCUCAAUUAAUUUUAUAACCAGAACAUUGUAGUCUAGUUUAAGUAUUUUUAGCUAUCUCUUUUUAUAUUCUUUUAAAUUAAUUUAGUAUACGUGUGUGUGUGUGUGUGUGUCUUUUUUUAAAUAUAUUAUUAUGUGUGACUGCA